AGCGAACGCUGGCGGCAGGCUUAACACAUGCAAGUCGAACGGGCACUUCGGUGUCAGUGGCAGACGGGUGAGUAACGCGUGGGAACGUACCUUUUGGUUCGGAACAACCCAGGGAAACUUGGGCUAAUACCGGAUAAGCCCUUACGGGGAAAGAUUUAUCGCCGAAAGAUCGGCCCGCGUCUGAUUAGCUAGUUGGUGAGGUAACGGCUCACCAAGGCGACGAUCAGUAGCUGGUCUGAGAGGANGAUCAGCCACAUUGGGACUGAGACACGGCCCAAACUCCUACGGGAGGCAGCAGUGGGGAAUAUUGGACAAUGGGCGCAAGCCUGAUCCAGCCAUGCCGCGUGAGUGAUGAAGGCCCUAGGGUUGUAAAGCUCUUUUGCGCGGGAAGAUAAUGACGGUACCGCAAGAAUAAGCCCCGGCUAACUUCGUGCCAGCAGCCGCCGUAA
rnacentral:rRNA from 1 species